rnacentral:rRNA from 1 species
GGCAAAAGCUCAAAUUUGAAAUCCUUCGGGAAUUGUAUUUUGAAGGUGGGUUUGGUUAGGAAAAGUUACUUUAAGUCCAUUGGAAAAUGGCGCCAUGGAGGGUGAUAGCCCCGUAAAAGUAUCCCUUUUCCUUUUAUCCAUUCCCUCCAAAGAGUCGAGUUGUUUGGGAAUGCAGCUCUAAGUGGGUGGUAAAUUCCAUCUAAAGCUAAAUAUUGGCGAGAGACCGAUAGCGAACAAGUACAGUGAUGGAAAGAUGAAAAGCACUUUGAAAAGAGAGUGAAAAAGUACGUGAAAUUGUUGAAAGGGAAGGGCUUGCAAGCAGACACAACCUCGGUUGGGCCAGCAUCGGAGUGGGGGGAGACAAAAAAGAAAAGGAAUGUAACUCU